rnacentral:lncRNA from 1 species
UAGAAGGAAAAGUAAACCACGUGACCGUGAUUCACGUGCAAGGCUGACCAAACCAAGGCCUCGGCGAGGGAGAGGAGGUGUGCGUAGAACAAAAGGCGAUAAGUGAUGGCCGCCAGCAGUGGUCCUCCGUGCAACGUCGGCGAUGAGCGGUGCCGCGUCGCAACAAGUUUGUCCCUCGUGUUGCUGAAGGCCGUGAGCCUGGAAUUCCCAGGACCACGUGUUUAUUUGUAUUUUUUUGUGAUUGUAAACUACUUAACGACGUAAACUAUUAUGCAAGAGAAGGGGAGUAGCCGCCGCCACACAUAGGCACCGAGCUCUCCUUAAAAAUAUGUAAU